GGCAAAUCACUCUAUCGCAACCC
rnacentral:siRNA from 1 species